rnacentral:tRNA from 2 species
GGGCCUUUAGCUCAGUUGGUUAGAGCAACCGGCUCAUAACCGGUCGGUCUAGGGUUCGAGUCCCUGAAGGCCCA